rnacentral:tRNA from 1 species
GCCUGCUUAGCUCAGAGGUUAGAGCAUCGCAUUUGUAAU